rnacentral:lncRNA from 1 species
UGAUCUAUGUGUUAAUUGAUUAAAUUGGCUAAGUUUAAUUGUUAUUAAACAUGAUAGAAAUGAUAAUUAGGGAUCAAUUUGGUUAAUUGUCAAGAAUGCCUAAAAUUGGUUAAGUUUAGUUUCCUAAUAAUUGGGAACUUUUGUUUAAUGAGAUAAAUACUUGAAUUGAUGAUGUUUAUAUGUUAGUUAGACUACUAGCAAGGAGAAAGCAUGAUUAAUUUGGUUAAUGAUGUUAAUUUGUGAAAAUUUCCCGAGUUUAGUUUACGUGCAUACAUGAGAUCUUAUAUAUAAGAUGAGUUAUGAGUCGAGCAUGUUUAUAUAUGGCUAUUUGAUGAUUAAUUGAGCUUAUAUUUGCGAUAUGAGACGAAACGGACCAAACCCCUAAUGACUUAUGUGUUGGCCGAAUGUAAGGAGUAAAAGAGGAAGUCGAUGCUUGAAUUUUCUUGAGUUAUAUGAUUAUGUAUUUAUGUUAUUGUGUAUUAUGUGAGCUUAAUUUGAAUUUAUGAGAUUGUUAUUUUACAUCGAAGAAGUCCGGAGU